rnacentral:rRNA from 1 species
UACGGAGGAUGCGAGCGUUAUCCGGAUUUAUUGGGUUUAAAGGGUGCGUAGGUGGUUUGUUAAGUUUGUGGUGAAAGCGUGCGGCUCAACCGUACCAAGCCAUGAAAACUGGCGAACUUGAGUGCAAACGAGGUAGGCGGAAUGUGAUGUGUAGCGGUGAAAUGCUUAGAUAUGUCACAGAACCCCGAUUGCGAAGGCAGCUUACCAGCAUGCAACUGACACUGAGGCACGAAAGCGUGGGUAUCAAACAGG